AGAUUGUAAUUUCAUCGCUGGAAGCAAAGAGGAUCUCACCUGGUGUUUGCUGACGACUAAGGACUGGUGAUCAUCUGAAGAGAAUAUAUUCUCUCUUGAAAAAGCUCCAUGAUGGGAGAACUACUGUACAAUCCAAGAUAACAGCAACAGCUGCCUCAGCACCAUGAUGGGAGAACUACUGUACAACCAAAGAUAACAGCAAAGACGGCCUACUCAGGUUUUCAAACUCAGCAGUCAGUGUCCAGCAGAGUGACAUCAUGGCUGCAGCAUCAGG